UUUGGGGCUAUGGUAAGGUUUAAGUUUUUGGCGUUAGGGUUAAAAUCACUGUCCAAAACCUUUGUAGGAACUCUUUUCCAACCUUUUGGAGUUAGUUAGACCAAAAAAUAUGAAAAAAGAAAAAAAUAUUAUUGGGGGUUUUCGGGCUUCCUGAAAGUAAUACCCGGGUAUUAGGUUUUGGGGCUAUGGUAAGGUUUAAAGUUUUUGGCGUUAGGGUUAAAAUCACUGUCCAAAACCUUUGUAGGAACUCUUUUCCAACCUUUUGGAGUUAGUUAGACCAAAAAAAAAAGAAAAAUGAAAAAAAAAUAUUUGGGGUGUUCAGGCUUCCUAAAAGUAAUACCCGGGUAUUAGGUUAUGGGGCUAUGGUAAGGUUUAACGUUUUGGCGUUAGGUUUAAAAUCACUGUCCAAAACCUUUGUAGGAACUCUUUUCCAACCUUUUGGAGUUAGUUAGACCAAAAAAAAAUGAAAAAUUAAAAAAUAUAUAUUUGGGGUGUUCAGGCUUCCUAAAAGUAAUACCCGGGUAUUAGGUUAUGGGGCUAUGGUAAGGUUUAACGUUUUGGCGUUAGGUUUAAAAUCACUGUCCAAAACCUUUGUAGGAACUCUUUUUCAACCUUUUGGAGUUGGUUACACCAAAAAAAAUGUAAAAUGAAAAAAAAAUAUUUGGGGUGUUCGGGCUUCCUGAAUGUAAUACCCGGGUAUUAGAUUUUAAGGCCAGGGUAAGGUUUAAGUUUUUUGGCAUUAGUGUUAAAAUCACUGUCCAAAACCUUUGUAGGAACUCUUUUCCAACCUUUUGGAGUUGGUUACACCAAAAAAAAUGUAAAAAAAAAAAAAAUAUUUGGGGUGUUCGGGCUUCCUGAAAGUAAUACCCAGGUAUUAGGAGGUUUUGGGGCUAUGGUAAGGUUUAAGUUUUUUGGCGUUAGGGUUAAAAUCACUGUCCAAAACCUUUGUAGGAACUCUUUUCCAACCUUUUGGAGUUAGUUAGACCAAAAAAAAAGAAAAAUGAAAAAAAAAUAUUUGGGGUGUUCAGGCUUCCUAAAAGUAAUACCCGGGUAUUAGGUUAUGGGGCUAUGGUAAGGUUUAACGUUUUUGGCGUUAGGGUUAAAAUCACUGUCCAAAACCUUUGUAGGAACUCUUUUCCAACCUUUUGGAUUUAGUUAGACCAAAAAAAAUGAAAAAUUAAAAAAAAUAUAUUUGGGGUGUUCAGGCUUUCUAAAAGUAAUACCCGGGUAUUAGGUUAUGGGGCUAUGGUAAGGUUUAAGGUUUUUGGCGUUAGGGUUAAAAUCACUGUCCAAAACCUUUGUAGGAACUCUUUUUCCAACCUUUUGGAGUUAGUUAGACCAAAAAAAAAAAAUGAAAAAUGAAAAAAAAUAUAUUUGGGGUUUACGGGCUUCCUGAAUGUAAUACCCGGGUAUUAGAUUUUAAGGCCAGGGAAAGGUUUAAGUUUUUUGGCGUUAGGGUUAAAAUCACUGUCCAAAACCUUUGUAGGAACUCUUUUCCAACCUUUUGGAGUUAGUUAGACCAAAAAAUAUG